rnacentral:rRNA from 1 species
CCUACGGGAGGCAGCAGUAGGGAAUGUUCGGCAAUGGGGGGAACCCUGACAGAGCAACGCCGCGUGAAGGAAGAAGUUAUUCGUAAUGUAAAGUUCUUUUAACAGGGAAGAAAGAGAAAUUGGACGGUACCUGAAGAAUAAGCUCCGGCUACCUACGUACCAGCAGCCGCGGUAAUACGUAGGGAGCGAGCGUUAUCCGGAAUUAUUGGGCGAAAAGGGUGCGUAGCGGGCAUAGUAAGUCUUUUGUAAAACUGCUGGGCUCAACCCAGUAGUGCAAUAGAUACUGCAAAGCUAGAGUAUGACAGAGGCAAGUGGAACUACAUGUGUAGCGGUGAAAUGCGUAGAGAUAUGUAAGAACACCAGUGGCGAAGGCGGCUUGCUGGGUCGAUACUGACAUUGAGGCGCGAAAGCGUGGGGAGCAAACAGGAUUAGAUACCCCGGUAGUC